ACUGUGCAUCCGCUCACCAACUGUCUCUCUCCAACUGUCUCUCUCCUUCUUUGUCACUGGCAGCUGCUAUAGCAUACAACAGACCCAGCAUCCAACUCACACUCGCACGGGGCUACUUACUCUAGUUUAGCUCCACUUUCAUAUGCAUUAUAUAUUUAUUUGCACAAAAAGAAAAGAAAGCUGCUGUACAAAUGUGGUGCCCUGGGCAGAAAUAGGGGCGUGGCUUUAUAAAGGGGCGUGGUCAGGGUGCCUCUCAUUUUCCAGCUCGAAGACAACUAAACCCCUCACUCUUGGAGAUUUUCGGAAACCCCGCAAAUCUGGAACAAAGAAUCGAUGCAUCUAUGGAAAGUAACAAAAAACCCAGCAUACGUGAAAGUUAUGGCAUGUUUAUCCCAAAUCAGAAUCCAGCAUAAGAAAUGCUUCAAGAUAAGACAGCACUGACCAUUCCUGGCUGAAGCAUACAUUUUUAUUUAUUGAUUGAUUUAUUGAUUGAUUUAAUGAAUGUUAAGCAUAGUUUUAAUAUUAGGUUGAUUUUAUUACAUACUUAUAUUAGUUAAAUUGUACUCUUUACAUCUAUUCAGUUUGUAAAGGUAUCUCAUUUUAC